GCCUACACAUGCAAGUCGAGCGGUAGAGAGGUGCUUGCACCUCUUGAGAGCGGCGGACGGGUGAGUAAUACCUAGGAAUCUGCCUGGUAGUGGGGGAUAACGUUCGGAAACGGACGCUAAUACCGCAUACGUCCUACGGGAGAAAGCAGGGGACCUUCGGGCCUUGCGCUAUCAGAUGAGCCUAGGUCGGAUUAGCUAGUUGGUGAGGUAAUGGCUCACCAAGGCUACGAUCCGUAACUGGUCUGAGAGGAUGAUCAGUCACACUGGAACUGAGACACGGUCCAGACUCCUACGGGAGGCAGCAGUGGGGAAUAUUGGACAAUGGGCGAAAGCCUGAUCCAGCCAUGCCGCGUGUGUGAAGAAGGUCUUCGGAUUGUAAAGCACUCUAAGUUGGGAGGAAGGGCAUUAACCUAAUACGUUAGUGUCUUGACGUUACCGACAGAAUAAGCACCGGCUAACUCUGUGCCAGCAGCCGCGGUAAUACAGAGGGUGCAAGCGUUAAUCGGAAUUACUGGGCGUAAAGCGCGCGUAGGUGGUUUGUUAAGUUGAAUGUGAAAUCC
rnacentral:rRNA from 1 species